rnacentral:rRNA from 1 species
CGCCCAUUAAAGCGGUACGCGAGCUGGGUUCAGAACGUCGUGAGACAGUUCGGUCCCUAUCUGUCGCAGGCGGAGGAUAUUUGAGAGGAGCUGUUCCUAGUACGAGAGGACCGGAAUGGACGCACCACUGGUGCACCAGUUGUCGUGCCAACGGCACAGCUGGGUAGCUAUGUGCGGCAGGGAUAAACGCUGAAGGCAUCUAAGCGUGAAGCCCCCCUCAAGAUAAGAUAUCCCACACUUUAAAGUGGUAAGGUCCCAUAAAGACUAUGUGGUUGAUAGGUCAGAAGUGUAAGUGCAGUAAUGUAUUAAGCUAACUGAUACUAAUAGACCGAGGGCUUGACCAAAAA